rnacentral:RNase_P_RNA from 1 species
UGAGCAAGCUGGAUAGUCGCGUGCUCGUGCACGAGGAAAGUCCGAGCUCCAUAGGGCAGGGUGCUGGGUAACGCCCAGCGGAGGCGACUCCGAGGAAAGUGCAACAGAGAUAUACCGCCACGUAAGUGGUAAGGGUGGAAAGGCGAGGUAAGAGCUCACCAGCAGCCAGGUGACUGGCUGGCUCUGCAAACCCCACCUGGAGCAAGGCAAAUAGGAGAGCAUAUGUGGUGGCCCGCCACGCUCUCGGGUAUGCUGCUUGAGGCAGCAGGCAACUGCUGUCCUAGAUAGAUGACUAUCCAAGACAGAACUCGGCUUAUAGGCUUGCUCAACAG